GGAGAGGUGCCCGGAGUGGUUGAUCGGGGACCGGCGAGAGGUCGGACCCUUCAAGGGUCCACGCAGGUUCGAAUCCUGCCCUCUCCG
rnacentral:tRNA from 1 species